GAGUUUGAUCUUGGCUCAGAUUGAACGCUGGCGGCAUGCCUUACACAUGCAAGUCGAACGGCAGCAUGAUCUAGCUUGCUAGAUUGAUGGCGAGUGGCGAACGGGUGAGUAAUACAUCGGAACGUGCCCUGUAGUGGGGGAUAACUAGUCGAAAGAUUAGCUAAUACCGCAUACGACCUGAGGGUGAAAGUGGGGGACCGCAAGGCCUCAUGCUAUAGGAGCGGCCGAUGUCUGAUUAGCUAGUUGGUGGGGUAAAGGCCCACCAAGGCGACGAUCAGUAGCUGGUCUGAGAGGACGAUCAGCCACACUGGGACUGAGACACGGCCCAGACUCCUACGGGAGGCAGCAGUGGGGAAUUUUGGACAAUGGGCGAAAGCCUGAUCCAGCAAUGCCGCGUGUGUGAAGAAGGCCUCGGUUGUAAG
rnacentral:rRNA from 1 species